rnacentral:rRNA from 1 species
AUGAACGCUAGCUACAGGCUUAACACAUGCAAGUCGAGGGGCAGCAUUUUAGUUUGCUUGCAAACUAAAGAUGGCGACCGGCGCACGGGUGAGUAACACGUAUCCAACCUGCCGAUAACUCGGGGAUAGCCUUUCGAAAGAAAGAUUAAUAUCCGAUGGUAUAUUUUCUCCGCAUGGUGAGAAUAUUAAAGAAUUUCGGUUAUCGAUGGGGAUGCGUUCCAUUAGUUUGUUGGCGGGGUAACGGCCCACCAAGACCACGAUGGAUAGGGGUUCUGAGAGGAAGGUCCCCCACAUUGGAACUGAGACACGGUCCAAACUCCUACGGGAGGCAGCAGUGAGGAAUAUUGGUCAAUGGACGAGAGUCUGAACCAGCCAAGUAGCGUGAAGGAUGACUGCCCUAUGGGUUGUAAACUUCUUUUAUAUGGGAAUAAAGUGUUCCACGUGUGGGAUUUUGUAUGUACCAUAUGAAUAAGGAUCGGCUAACUCCGUGCCAGCAGCCGCGGUAAUACGGAGGAUCCGAGCGUUAUCCGGAUUUAUUGGGUUUAAAGGGAGCGUAGGUGGAUUGUUAAGUCAGUUGUGAAAGUUUGCGGCUCAACCGUAAAAUUGCAGUUGAAACUGGCAGUCUUGAGUACAGUAGAGGUGGGCGGAAUUCGUGGUGUAGCGGUGAAAUGCUUAGAUAUCACGAAGAACUCCGAUUGCGAAGGCAGCUCACUAGACUGCAACUGACACUGAUGCUCGAAAGUGUGGGUAUCAAACAGGAUUAGAUACCCUGGUAGUCCACACAGUAAACGAUGAAUACUCGCUGUUUGCGAUAUACAGUAAGCGGCCAAGCGAAAGCAUUAAGUAUUCCACCUGGGGAGUACGCCGGCAACGGUGAAACUCAAAGGAAUUGACGGGGGCCCGCACAAGCGGAGGAACAUGUGGUUUAAUUCGAUGAUACGCGAGGAACCUUACCCGGGCUUAAAUUGCAUUUGAAUAAUCUGGAAACAGGUUAGCCGCAAGGCAAAUGUGAAGGUGCUGCAUGGUUGUCGUCAGCUCGUGCCGUGAGGUGUCGGCUUAAGUGCCAUAACGAGCGCACCCUUAUCUUUAGUUACUAACAGGUCAUGCUGAGGACUCUAGAGAGACUGCCAUCGUAAGAUGUGAGGAAGGUGGGGAUGACGUCAAAUCAGCACGGCCCUUACGUCCGGGGCUACACACGUGUUACAAUGGGGGGUACAGAAGGCAGCUACCUGGCGACAGGAUGCUAAUCCCAAAAACCUCUCUCAGUUCGGAUCGAAGUCUGCAACCCGACUUCGUGAAGCUGGAUUCGCUAGUAAUCGCGCAUCAGCCAUGGCGCGGUGAAUACGUUCCCGGGCCUUGUACACACCGCCCGUCAAGCCAUGAAAGCCGGGGGUACCUGAAGUACGUAACCGCAAGGAGCGUCCUAGGGUAAAACUGGUAAUUGGGGCU